AGAGUUUGAUCCUGGCUCAGGAUGAACGCUGGCGGCGUGCUUAACACAUGCAAGUCGAGCGAUGAAGUUUCCUUCGGGAAAUGGAUUAGCGGCGGACGGGUGAGUAACACGUGGGUAACCUGCCUCAUAGAGUGGAAUAGCCUUCCGAAAGGGAGAUUAAUACCGCAUAACGUUGAAAGAUGGCAUCAUCAUUCAACCAAAGGAGCAAUCCGCUAUGAGAUGGACCCGCGGCGCAUUAGCUAGUUGGUGGGGUAACGGCCUACCAAGGCGACGAUGCGUAGCCGACCUGAGAGGGUGAUCGGCCACAUUGGGACUGAGACACGGCCCAGACUCCUACGGGAGGCAGCAGUGGGGAAUAUUGCACAAUGGGGGAAACCCUGAUGCAGCAACGCCGCGUGAGUGAUGAAGGUUUUCGGAUCGUAAAGCUCUGUCUUUGGGGAAGAUAAUGACGGUACCCAAGGAGGAAGCCACGGCUAACUACGUGCCAGCAGCCGCGGUAAUACGUAGGUGGCGAGCGUUAUCCGGAUUUACUGGGCGUAAAGGGAGCGUAGGCGGAUGAUUAAGUGGGAUGUGAAAUACCCGGGCUCAACUUGGGUGCUGCAUUCCAAACUGGUUAUCUAGAGUGCAGGAGAGGAGAGUGGAAUUCCUAGUGUAGCGGUGAAAUGCGUAGAGAUUAGGAAGAACACCAGUGGCGAAGGCGACUCUCUGGACUGUAACUGACGCUGAGGCUCGAAAGCGUGGGGAGCAAACAGGAUUAGAUACCCUGGUAGUCCACGCCGUAAUCGAUGAAUACUAGGUGUGGGGGUUUCAACACCUCCGUGCCGCCGCUAACGCAUUAAGUAUUCCGCCUGGGGAGUACGGUCGCAAGAUUAAAACUCAAAGGAAUUGACGGGGACCCGCACAAGUAGCGGAGCAUGUGGUUUAAUUCGAAGCAACGCGAAGAACCUUACCUACACUUGACAUCCCUUGCAUUACUCUUAAUCGAGGAAAUCCCUUCGGGGACAAGGUGACAGGUGGUGCAUGGUUGUCGUCAGCUCGUGUCGUGAGAUGUUGGGUUAAGUCCCGCAACGAGCGCAACCCUUGUCGUUAGUUACUACCAUUAAGUUGAGGACUCUAGCGAGACUGCCUGGGUUAACCAGGAGGAAGAUGGGGAUGACGUCAAAUCAUCAUGCCCCUUAUGUGUAGGGCUACACACGUGCUACAAUGGCUGGUACAGAGAGAUGCAAUACCGCGAGGUGGAGCCAAACUUAAAAACCAGUCUCAGUUCGGAUUGUAGGCUGAAACUCGCCUACAUGAAGCUGGAGUUACUAGUAAUCGCGAAUCAGAAUGUCGCGGUGAAUACGUUCCCGGGUCUUGCACACACCGCCCGUCA
rnacentral:rRNA from 1 species